CCUACGGGAGGCAGCAGUAAGGAAUAUUGGUCAAUGGGCGCAAGCCUGAACCAGCCAUGCCGCGUGCAGGAAGACGGCCCUAUGGGUUGUAAACUGCUUUUGAACAAGAGAAAACCUCGGUACGUGUACCGAGCUGAUAGUAUUGUUAGAAUAAGCAUCGGCUAACUUCGUGCCAGCAGCCGCGGUAAGACGAAGGAUGCAAGCGUUAUCCGGAUUCAUUGGGUUUAAAGGGUGCGUAGGCGGCCUGAUAAGUCAGUGGUGAAAUCUCUCAGCUUAACUGAGAAACUGCCAUUGAUACUGUCGGGCUUGAGUACAGAUGAUGUGGGCGGAAUAUGACAUGUAGUGGUGAAAUACUUAGAUAUGUCAUAGAACACCGAUUGCGAAGGCAGCUCACAAAACUGUAACUGACGCUGAGGCACGAAAGUGCGGGGAUCAAACAGGAUUAGAUACCCUGGUAGUCCGCACCGUAAACGAUGAUUACUCGUUGUUGGCAAUAUGACCGUCAGCGACCAAGCGAAAAGCGAUAAGAAUCCACCUGGGGAGUACGCCGGCAACGGUUGAAACUCAAAGGAAUUGACGGCNGAGAGNGCGACGGACGACGACGAGGGAGGAGG
rnacentral:rRNA from 1 species